GUGCCAGCCGCCGCGGUAAUACAGAGGUCCCAAGCGUUGUUCGGAUUCACUGGGCGUAAAGGGUGCGUAGGUGGCUGGGUAAGUUCGGUGUGAAAUCUCCAGGCUCAACCUGGAAAUGGCAUUGAAUACUAUCCAGCUCGAGGGUUGUAGGGGAGACUGGAAUUCUCGGUGUAGCAGUGAAAUGCGUAGAUAUCGAGAGGAACACCAGUGGCGAAGGCGAGUCUCUGGACAACUCCUGACACUGAGGCACGAAAGCUAGGGGAGCAAACAGGAUUAGAUACCCUGGUAGUCCUAGCCCUAAACGGUGCACAUUUGCUGUGAGCGGAUUCGACCCCGCUCGUGGCGGAGCUAACGCGUUAAAUGUGCCGCCUGGGAAGUACGGUCGCAAGAUUAAAACUCAAAGAAAUUGACGGGGGCCUGCACAAGCGGUGGAGUAUGUGGCUCAAUUCGAUGCAACGCGAAGAACCUUACCUGGCCUUGACAUGCAAGUAGUAGAAGGAUGAAAGUCUGACGAUCCCGCAAGGGAAGCUUGCACAGGUGCUGCAUGGCUGUCGUCAGCUCGUGUCGUGAGAUGUUGGGUUAAGUCCCGCAACGAGCGC
rnacentral:rRNA from 1 species